GUGAAAAAAUAUUGCCCUUUGGGUUGCUUUGAACUCCUGCAAAGUGUGAUAGACUUUAAAAGAAGUAGCCGUGUUGCUUCUGAAGGAAAAUGCCGGCAAUAAAAGGAAAGCAUCUCCAUAGACUGCAACGUUCUCCACAAAUUCUGUCUUCUUUUCAUUUAGUUUGUUGUAUUUCUGAGCUAUGAUACUUGGAUUAACCGUCACAAGGUUUGUUUUAUUGCCGACAUCUUUGCUAAUGCUUCCCAUUGUUGGAGGGAGGUUACACCGAAACACAAAGUCAGAACGAUCGAUUUCAGCUCCACAGCUGGAAUUUUUCAGAAUGCCUCCAUUUCCAACCACUGCACAGUUCUUGAAGGGAUAAACUGAAAGAGGAGAGGACACAGGCAGCAUUCUAAAAAUGUCUUCUGUAAUGAGGAUGGUCUUUUUACUGUCCACUUCAUAACUCAUGUUACUUCCCAGUGGGGUGUUGUUUUGAGAAGCAAUAAAAUUGUGAACUGCAUUACAGCAGGAAGC
rnacentral:lncRNA from 1 species